UUGCGGCAGAAUCGAGAUCAGGUCCAGAGCUGGAGGGGCUCCCAGGCCGGGCCUCUGCCCAGCUUCUCCUGUUACACGUGCGGAAGCUGAGGCCGUGUCUCUGUAUGAGACUUGUCCAUCACUGCCCGGGUAUGAUAACUCUCGGCAUCUCUAAAUCUCAGGAGGAAUGUCUGCAGCCCGGCAAGAGAUGGAAUCAGAUGGAAUCAUCAACACUCAAUCAUUAGGCACUGUUGGUUUUCUCUUCAAUGCUGUCUUUCUCCAAAGUAUAAUUAACUGUGGUUAGUCCACCAAACUCUGCCAGAGACCAUGUUCUUAAGGAUAUGUCAGAGACCAUGUCCUUGAAGACUGCCGGAGACCAUGUCCUUGGAGGCAGGAGACAAAGAGCUAAGAAGAGUAGCAAACACCCUAAAUUCCUGAGAUUAGAUAAUGUGUGUCCCAAGAAAUCGGUCAUCUCAGCCCAGGAUCUAGAUAACAGUAUACUCCAGGAUUUCUGCCAUACCUAUGGUCCGACAUUCUUCUCAUUGCAACCCCCCACUCAGAAAUCAUAUUUAAUUAAAACCUCUUCAUUCAUUAAACAGAGACAUUCACCAUCCUAAAUCUUGAGUUGCCUCUCUGUCUCUCCGAUCCUGUUCACAGGCACAACGUGCCUUACCAGACUGUUGUCUUAUGGAGCCUUUGCUCCGGCCCCUUCGAUGACCCACUAUUGAUGUCCUGCUGGACAGGACAAAACUCUUCUAUGGAUUUAAUCUGCCAGUCAGUAGUAUAUUCACAUGUCAUGUCUUAUUUUUUUUUAAUUGCUUCUUCUAAACUCCUUUUCUGGGUAACCCUAUUGCACUCCCAAAUUUAUUUCAUAUUUACCACUUCUGGUGUCUAUUUCUUCUCCUAAAUAAAUCUACCUUUUGGCUAAGAAAAA